rnacentral:rRNA from 1 species
CUACGGGCCGCUGCAGUCGAGAAUCUUCCGCAAUGGACGAAAGUCUGACGGAGCGACGCCGCGUGCGGGAUGAAGGCCUUCGGGUUGUAAACCGCUGUCAGUGGGGAGGAAAUGCAUCAGGGUUCUCCCUGGUGUUUGACCGAUCCGCAGAGGAAGCGCAGGCUAAGUUCGUGCCAGCAGCCGCGGUAACACGAACUGCGCGAACGUUAUUCGGAAUCACUGGGCUUAAAGAGUUCGUAGGCGGCCUUUCAAGUCGGGUGUGAAAUCCCUCGGCUCAACCGAGGAAUUGCGCCUGAUACUGUGGGGCUUGAGGGGGAUAUGGGUGAGCGGAACUGAUGGUGGAGCGGUGAAAUGCGUUGAUAUCAUCAGGAACACCGGUGGCGAAGGCGGCUCACUGGAUCUCUUCUGACGCUGAGGAACGAAAGCUAGGGGAGCGAACGGGAUUAGAUACCCUUGUAGUC